GGUUGUCAUGCCAAUGGCACUGCCCGGUAGCUAAAUGCGGAAGAGAUAAGUGCUGAAAGCAUCUAAGCACGAAACUUGCCCCGAGAUGAGUCUUCCCUGAGACUUUAAGUCUCCUGAAGGAACGUUGAAGACGACGACGUUGAUAGGCCGGGUGUGUAAGCGCAGCGAUGCGUUGAGCUAACCGGUACUAAUGAACCGUGAGGCUUAACCUUACAACGCCGAAGCUGUU
rnacentral:rRNA from 1 species